rnacentral:rRNA from 1 species
AAACUUUCAACAACGGAUCUCUUGGUUCUCGCAUCGAUGAAGAACGCAGCAAAUGCGAUAAGUAUUGUGAAUUGCAGGAUUUUGAGAAUCAUCGAAUUUUUGAACGCACAUUGCACCUUCUGGUAUUCCGGAGGGUAUACCUGUUUGAGCGUCAUUU